AUUGAACGCUGGCGGCAUGCUUUACACAUGCAAGUCGAGCGGCAGCGCGGGGGCAACCCUGGCGGCGAGCGGCGAACGGGUGAGUAACGCAUCGGAACGUAUCCUGUAGUGGGGAAUAACUCAUCGAAAGGUGAGCUAAUACCGCAUAAGCUCUGAGGAGGAAAGCGGGGGGACCCGAAAAGGCCUCGCGCUGCAGGAGCGGCCGAUGUCCGAUUAGCUAGUUGGUGAGGUAAAGGCUCACCAAGGCGACGAUCGGUAGCUGGUCUGAGAGGAUGAUCAGCCACACUGGGACUGAGACACGGCCCAGACUCCUACGGGAGGCAGCAGUGGGGAAUAUUGGACAAUGGGCGAAAGCCUGAUCCAGCCAUGCCGCGUGGGCGAUGAAGGCC
rnacentral:rRNA from 1 species